CAGUAGCCACGGUAAUACGAAGGGUGCAAGCGUUAAUCGGAGUUACUGGGCGUAAAGCGUGCGUAGGCGGUGAGUUAAGUCUGCUGUGAAAUCCCCGGGCUCAACCUGGGAAUGGCAGUGGAUACUGGCUCGCUAGAGUGUGUCAGAGGAUGGUGGAAUUCCCGGUGUAGCGGUGAAAUGCGUAGAGAUCGGGAGGAACAUCAGUGGCGAAGGCGGCCAUCUGGGACAACACUGACGCUGAGGCACGAAAGCGUGGGGAGCAAACAGGAUUAGAUACCCCAGUAGUCCCUGUCUCUUAUAC
rnacentral:rRNA from 1 species